CAUGAGUAGCAAUACUUGAUGGCGACCGGCAAACGGGUGCGGAACACGUACGCAACCUUCCUUUAAGUGGAGAAUAGCUCCCGGAAACGGGAAUUAAUACUCCGUAAUAUUAUGAAGUGGCAUCACUUUAUAAUUAUAGAUUUAUCGCUUAAAGAUGGGCGUGCGCCUGAUUAGGUAGUUGGCGGGGUAACGGCCCACCAAGCCUUCGAUCAGUAACUGGUGUGAGAGCACGACCAGUCACACGGGCACUGAGACACGGGCCCGACUCCUACGGGAGGCAGCAGUAAGGAAUAUUGGUCAAUGGACGCAAGUCUGAACCAGCCAUGCCGCGUGGAGGAUGAAGGUCCUCUGGAUUGUAAACUUCUUUUAUUUGGGAAGAAAUGCAUUUUUUUUAAAGUGCUUGACGGUACCAGAUGAAUAAGCACCGGCUAACUCCGUGCCAGCAGCCGCGGUAAUACGGAGGGUGCAAGCGUUAUCCGGAUUUACUGGGUUCAAAGGGUGCGCAGGCGGAUAUGUAAGUCAGUGGUGAAAUCUUUGGGCUUAACCCGAAAAUUGCCAUUGAUACUAUAUAUCUUGAAUGCUGUGGAGGUAAGCGGAAUAUGUCAUGUAGCGGUGAAAUGCUUAGAUAUGACAUAGAACACCUAUUGCGAAGGCAGCUUACUACGCAGAGAUUGACGCUCAUGCACGAAAGCGUGGGGAUCAAACAGGAUUAGAUACCCUGGUAGUCCACGCCCUAAACGAUGAUUACUCGACAUACGCGAUACACAGUGUGUGUCUGAGCGAAAGCAUUAAGUAUCCACCUGGGAAGUACGAUCGCAAGAUUGAAACUC
rnacentral:rRNA from 1 species